rnacentral:rRNA from 1 species
GAUGAACGCUGGCGGCGUGCCUAAUACAUGCAAGUCGAGCGAACAGAUGAGGAGCUUGCUCCUCUGACGUUAGCGGCGGACGGGUGAGUAACACGUGUAUAACCUACCUAUAAGACUGGGAUAACUUCGGGAAACCGGAGCUAAUACCGGAUAAUAUAUUGAACCGCAUGGUUCAAUAGUGAAAGACGGUUUUGCUGUCACUUAUAGAUGGAUCCGCGCCUCAUUAGCUAGUUGGUAAGGUAACGGCUUACCAAGGCAACGAUGCGUAGCCGACCUGAGAGAGUGAUCGGACACACUGGAACUGAGACACGGUCCAGACUCCUACGGGAGGAAGCAGUAGGGAAUCUUCCGCAAUGGGCGAAAGCCUGACGGAGCAACGCCGCGUGAGUGAUGAAGGUCUUCGGAUCGUAAAACUCUGUUAUUAGGGAAGAACAAAUGUGUAAGUAACUAUGCACGUAUUGACGGUACCUAAUCAGAAAGCCACGGCUAACUACGUG